GCGGGUGGCUUAGUCGGUAUAGUAUUCGCCUUACAAUCCAAGGGUUGUGGGUUCGAUCCCCACUCACUGCC
rnacentral:tRNA from 1 species